GACAGGGUGGCCGAGUGGUUAAGGCGGUAGUUUUGAAAGCUACUUCACUAUGUGAGCAUGAGUUCAAACCUCAUUCCUGUCG
rnacentral:tRNA from 1 species